rnacentral:rRNA from 1 species
GAUGAACGCUAGCUACAGGCUUAACACAUGCAAGUCGAGGGGCAGCACAGUGUAGCAAUACACGGGUGGCGACCGGCGCACGGGUGCGUAACGCGUAUCCAACCUUCCCGUUACUCUUGGAUAGCCUUCCGAAAGGGAGAUUAAUACAAGAUGGUAUUCAAAUUCCGCAUGUUAUUUGAAUUAAAGAUUUAUCGGUAACGGAUGGGGAUGCGUGACAUUAGAUAGUAGGCGGGGUAACGGCCCACCUAGUCUACGAUGUCUAGGGGUUCUGAGAGGAAGGUCCCCCACACUGGAACUGAGACACGGUCCAGACUCCUACGGGAGGCAGCAGUGAGGAAUAUUGGUCAAUGGUCGGAAGACUGAACCAGCCAAGUAGCGUGAAGGAUGAAGGUUCUAUGGAUUGUAAACUUCUUUUAUACGGGAAUAAAACCUCCCACGUGUGGGAGCUUGUAUGUACCGUAUGAUUAAGCAUCGGCUAACUCCGUGCCAGCAGCCGCGGUAAGAC